rnacentral:snRNA from 1 species
GUCGCUUCUCGGCCUUUUGGCUAAGAUCAAGUGUAAAAAUCCUCACCCAAGGAUAUGUUCUUAUUGAUUUUUAAUUUUUUUUUAGAGAGAGAGAGAAAUAUUGAUCGGUUGCCUCCCAUAUGCUCCCCAACUGGGGAUUGAACCCAAAACCU